UUGUCAAAUUGCCAUAUAUUGCAUCUCCAACUACAGGUAAGAAGCUUCAUCCGAGGGAAGAUAAGCCAUCUAUGAAUGAACAGAGCACUUUCAAAACCUCUUAUCGAGACCCCAUCUCCUGCUAAUUAUUCAUCUGGUGGUGAAGGGCGACUCCACCUGCUAAGCAGGCCAAGCUUGCCAAGCUUUCUAUUCCCUUCCAGCAAGCAGCUGAUAGCCAUCAGUCACGGCUCCAUAAGGCAAUAAAUUGGGUCAAUAGCCACCAUCAAAAGAAAGAAGGAAGGAAGCUGCCUAAGCCCUUCACUAAGACCUGGCGAACUACCACCCUCCCUUAAUGAGUAGCAUGAAUAAGAAGAGAGAGAAGAUGUCGCAGAUCAACUGUUAGGAAAAAAAGUUUUGAAGAAGAGGUAGUCGAUUACAAACCUUCUUCUAAUGAGGCUGCAGCUGAGCCAGAAAGUGCUCCAUCAAUUCCAACAGAAACAUGUCUAGCAUGCCCCUUUCAAGCUGAACGUGGGAAUGGGGAUGGGAAUGGGAAUGGAUAAUGAUGAAGAGGAAGGGAAGACAGAAGACUUCAGAUGAGGAUUUAGAGAGGCCAGUACUUGUCAAAAAUGCGGUUGAGGCCAUUUGUUGGAGAUUAGAUCGUACAAGUAACAACACUGCUUUUGCCUUUCUCUAUUAGGAAGGGAGCCGGGUCUCAACCGGGUUUACCCGGGUCGACCGGGUUCCGGGUCGACCCUCCGGGUCGACCGGGUUUCUCCGGGCCAACUCCCAGACGGGUUUUUACUUAGACCCGGACCGGUUCCAGGCCCGGGUCGGCCGGGUCCCGGGUCGACCCGCCGGGCCGGUCCGGGUUUCAAAACUAUGGUUGUAGCUAUCUAAAACAUUAAUACAAAAAUUAAAGGAUAUGAGAAAUUUACUGUUCAUUCACACUUAUUGUAUUGUGGAUUGCAAUAGAAUUUACCGUGGAUUACUUCUUCUU